ACUAUUUUUUUGCUUUCCUCCAUUCACCUAUUUACUUUUGGGACUAAGUAGAACUGGGAUGAGGUUAUUCGAUUUCUUAUAUUUCUUCAUUAUUCCUCUUGCAUGUGUACUGGUUUUUACAGAUCAUAGUUCUAAACAUGUUAGAUUCAAUGAAAUUUGUUUGAAAUAGGGGGGUUUCCUUCCAUCUAUUUAGUUACAAAUCUUGCAAUUUGUUUGAAUCUUGAGGAGAGAUUACGGCUUUUGCACUGUGUACUGAUAUAAUUUUGUAAUUUGUUCCCGUAUUAUUGUCUUUGGCUUUGAUGGAUUAAUAUUUGACUCUAAAAUGUUCGUAGAAAUGAUUCAUAGAAUCAAAGUAGGUUCCAGUUCUAUGGUUCUUGAAUGUGGGCAGAAAACUGUUGGUAUUUCCUACUGGAUGUGUAGUGUACAUAUGUGAAACUGAUGAAUGUUCUCUUUUUGGGUAAUGCUUAGGGUUUGUUUUGUGUGCGUUGCCUAUGGCAAGUUAUGCUUAUUUUUUUCCUUAGCCUUUUUUGAGAUAAUGCUUAUCUAUGAUGCACAGGCACGGACACGGACACGGACACCGAAACCGACACCGGGACACGAGAAUUCUAAAAAAAUGGGGACACGGACACGACGGGGGACAUGCCACGUGUAUAUUUAUUUAUUUAUUUAUAUAUAUAAAUAAAUAAAUAAUUAUAGUUUAGCACCCAGAAAUUUAAAAAUAUAUAUAAUUUGGCCCCAAAAUUUUUAAAAAAAAUUACAUUUUGACCCCCAAUUUUUUCAAAAAUUACAGUUUGGCUCCCAAUUUUUUUUUUAAAAUUGCAGUUUGGCCCCUGCCAUGUCCCCAUCGGUGUCCUGCCGUGUCCCCUCAAAAUUUAAUAUUAAAAUAUGGGACACGCCACGUGGCGUGUCCCAUACGUAUCUCCGAGGUGUCCCGCGGUGUCUCUGUGUCCUGACACUGCAAUUCUUCGACCUCUAGAGGUGUCGGUGCUUCAUAGAUGCUUAUUGUUGCCUUCAGUAUUUUCUUUUUUGUCAAGCUCAUAAAAUGGCUGACGAAUAAAGUUUAGGCCUGGAUCUUGCAAAAUUGCACAAACGAUUCAUCUAGCAUUAUUAUAUAUAAUACACGGAUCCGCCAUUUUGGAGGAAGUAUGGGAUCUGUACCAGAUUCUCUCUCUCUCUCUAGAGAGAUGCCUAAAGCUCUUCGUCAUCUCCGACGAAGUACCAAUCGCUGCUGAGAUUGAUCUGUAUGGUAAUCGCUGACUGCAGAUAUAUUUUAGGGUUUUAUAUGUAAGACAUGGGCUAUUGCUUUAUUUGGUUUGGGCCAUUUAAAAAGUUGGGUCAUUACAUUUAUGUUUGGGCCAUUUAUGCAAGGCAUGUACUUUGUAUUUUUCAAUUAGUUGGCCAUAAAGACAUUUUCUUUAAUAAUGGGUCAUAAAGAUAUUUAUUUGUUUACCUUUUAUUAUUUAGUACUUUUUUUAAUAUUUGUGCUGGAAUUAAUAAAAAUUCAAAUUAAAUAAUGAUAAUUUGGAAAAUAAUUUUAUAUAUUCCUAUAAAUAAUAUAAUUUUUUUUAUACGUAUACAAAUAUUCAGCGGAUCCCCGCACCCGUAUCCAAAUUCGGAUAUAUAUCUCUGAAUCCUUUAUUUUCAGCUUUGAGGUGUCUGACCCUUAGAUAUGUACCCGCACCCAAUUCAAGUACCCGUAUCCAUGUAAAUAUUUAUAGUAUGGUUACCUAAUGCAGCUCACCUAAGUUUCUACAUGAACAUUUCGGGCAUAGCUUGUUAUAUGAAGCUAUUUGCAAUUCCAUCAUUUGUUUGGCCAAAAAAAAUGUAGCUCAGUUCUAUUUUCAAGUCUGUUGCUCAAGUAUCAAUUGGCCGAGUGCAAUCUGUGUUAGAUGGUUUUGAAUUCCAGGGAGCUAGGAAAAUACCAGUGCAAAUGGAGUCGGACGCUGCUGGCCUAUAUAUGUGUGAACCACCCUUGUUGUUUCACGGAAAGGCAGAGGUAGGUAGUAGGUGCAGGUCACUUGACCUGGAAAUAAGCCCUACGUAGUUGGUGAUCAUGCAGGAUUUUCAAAGAAAGUUGGUGCAGAUAUAUGCGACUGAUACAUUUUUUGUCCUCUUUCCUUAGUUUAGUUCUUUUUCCUCUUCUCUUCUUGAUCCUGAAAACUUGUGCUUAGGGAAUAGCUUGUGGAGUAACUGUUUUGGUUUCAUUUCCAAGUUAGCAUUGAGCAACACAUGUCAAGUUUGUGUGUUCGUCGCCUUCUUGAAGAUGGUGCCUCAAAAGGGUCCGAGGGGGGGUUUUGUAAUUCCAAAGCUAAUGACAACGGAGAUGCUCAUGUGGAGAAUGAUCAAGGUUUGGAGGUGGAUGCUGAUUCUUCUUUUGAGUUAUUCCGAGAUAGCGAGGAGCUGGCUGAUGAGGAUAAUUAUGAUUAUGAUGACUAUGUGGAUGAAUACUUGUAGGGAGACGAGGAGUGGACGGAAGCACAUCUAACUGUGGUAAACUAUGUGGACAUCGACGCACACAUCUUGUGCACUACUGUAAUUGCUGGCAUUGAUAGUGAUGGGGUCUUAAAGAUGAUUGUUGAUGUGUCUUACUUUUUCGGUCACUGAGUAAGUUCCCUUCCUUAAAUAUGUAAUGCUUUCCUUUGCAUUAUGCCAUGUCAUUGGUUAAGUUAUAUUUAGUUUAGGCAGCUUUCAACUUAUGAUGUGCCCAAACAACUCUUUUAUAUGUUUUCUUAGAACUUAACUCCUAUCCUUCGUCAGUUAUGGGAUAUAGGUAUUUGGGUUUUAAAGCAUCCCGUGGACCAUUUUAUGGGUUUGGAUAUAGAGAUAUCAUGUUCCCAUCUCCUUGUCCUUAUUUCCCAAACCCAUUUACUUCGGCGUACAAUUUUCGUUCUUAUUUGCACAUAAGUGGAGCUCAAAAAUUGAGCAUCCACGUAUAGAGAGUAUUUAACUAGAUCUGAGUGCUUUUUGAACAUAUUCCUAAGCCCCAUAUAGUUCAACAUAAGGGCUCAUUUGGAUGCCGGACUGAGAAAGGGUAUAAGUUAUCACCCCUGAAUAUUACCUGGGCCCAUCUCUAAGCCCUGGUUUGGGAAGCCAAAACUCAGGGGUUUUCAUUUAUUCCCCUCUCCUUGGUAAGACUGGAGAAGAGGGAUUCGGGGGUCUAAUAUUCGGCUGGGGUUUGAGGUGUUAUUAAGUUAUCCCCCAAUCCCUUGGAAAUUGGAUGAUUUUACCCCUUUUUAUCCCCCUUCCCCCAACCCAAACCACCUGGGUUUUUUCAAUUAAGAUAGCAAAACCUAAAGAAGAAGAAGAAGAAGAAGAACAAUAGCAGAUUGGAGAGAGGGAGGACGAACCAGGCCAGGGCUUGAUGAUGAACAGACAUUCUUCUUCUUCUUCUUCUUCUUCGUCUUCUUUAUUUUCUUCUUCUGUCGUUCUCUCUUACUCUCUCUCUCUGAACAAGAAGAAGGAAAGAGCAAGGGAAAGUUAUUAUGUGCAUGUCAGCAUGUGUGCCCAUGUGUUCCAUACAACCCCACCCAUCCACACUUAAAAACACACGAAAUUAUAAAAAAAAAACCCUAAAAAAAUGAAUUUUAAAUUUAUACUUAUUAAAUUAAUUAAUUUAUUAAUGAAUUAAAUUUUUAUUGCUUAAGUAUGAAAAAGUAAUUAAUUUUUGCAAUUUUAUAUUGUUCGUAAUGAAUAAUCUAAUUUAUUACUGCUCAAGGGCAAAAGAGUUAUUUAAUAGCUUUUUAUAUCAUUCACCCUUCCUUAUCCCCUCAUUUUAUCCCUCAUCCAAAUCAAGUACUAUUUUAUCCUCCCAACCCCCCCCCCCCCCCCCCCCCCACCCCCCACCCACCACCCAAUACAUCAUCCAAACCAACAACUAAUUAAUCCCCCCUCCAUAAAAGUGGGUCCACCCUUCUUAAAUAAUACUCCCUACUAUCUUAUCCCCCUUCAUAAAUAAUAACCCCAAUUCUUAUCCCGCAUCCAAACAGGCCCUACGCAUGUUUUCUAAUCACAAGUUUGAAUGAAAUCAUGCACCUAACUUAUUUUUUUGCUGUUACAGCUCACCAAAAGCAUGUUUAAAUGAUGCUUUCGUUUGAAAGAGUGUUUUCUAGGCAUGCUUCCAUUGGAAAACAGACAUUGGAAGCACAGUUUUCCUUUUGAGAGGUGUGUUUUUUGGAAACCUUUUUUCAACCAAGUGUUGGAGGUUCAGAAAAUAUGCCAAACUAUCCGUAGUUUGGGGAUAACCCUAUGAGGUGUAAAAACUUCAGCUUAUAAAUUUUACUUGUGUACUAAUUCAUUAACGUUGAUGUUCAUUUGGUUCAUGUCAUUCAUAUAUAAAUGUCAUGUGGUUCUUGUCAGUCAUAUAGAAUCCUUGGAUGGGCCACCAGGUUUUCUUUUUAGGUGGAGUAUUAGUUUAUACCAUAAGAUUUGUAUUUUCCUUAGGAGUAUGUCAUGUUGAAACUUGAAAAUGAAGCUCAAGUAUCUUCAAUUGCAUUGUUGUAGAAUCUUAUUUACUACAAGCUUAGGUUUUCUUGUAGUGUGUUCUGAAUUGUGGUUUUGGGCUUUCGGAGGAUCGGCUUGGUGUAGAGAGAUAGUGUUUUAUCAUUCAUCAAUGACAUAUACAACGAUUACUUUGGAAAUAAAAGAAAAGAUUCGUUGGAUAGGGCAACUAAUGUUAAUUUAACUUGAGAUCAUACUCCGUUCAGUCGGGCCUUUUGGCACGGGAUGCGCUAGAAAAUAUUAGGGUGUGCCAUUGUUUUAUGCUUACACCUUUCCAUGGAUAGAAGUCAUGUUCUAAAAAUUUUGAGCCGUGCCUGAACUAGUAAUCUAACAAGCUAACGCUGUAAUUUUCUGUGAAUAUGAUUUUGUGGAUAUAUGUUGGUUGGUUGUUUCACCGUGUACUAUUUUUCACUAUCAUAAAGUUCAACCAGUUUUAAAAGUAUUGUUUUUACGCUAUGAUACGAUGAGCUGAGAAUGCCUUGCACAAUGUGUUUUAUUUCUUUGCUUAAUCGGCCGUUAAUGUAGGUUUACCUCCUUUGGGGCUAUAUGUCUGUUAGCGCAUUAAAAGGAAAACAGAGAAGGGUUGCAUUAUGAAAUUAAUUACCUGUAUAUUAGCUUAAAGAGAAAAUUCCUGCUAAAUUAUCACUACAUUUUGGUAUAUGAUAAUGAUAUGGUUGUAAUGGAUAUUCUGUCAACUCUAUGAGACUAGGUUUUGCAUGUAGUAAACUCCUGUCAGUUAAA